rnacentral:rRNA from 1 species
CAUUUCUAGCUUGCUAGAAGAUGACGAGUGGCGGACGGGUGAGUAAUGCUUGGGAACUUGCCUUUGCGAGGGGGAUAACAGUUGGAAACGACUGCUAAUACCGCAUAAUGUCUUCGGACCAAACGGGGCUUCGGCUCCGGCGCAAAGAGAGGCCCAAGUGAGAUUAGCUAGUUGGUAAGGUAACGGCUUACCAAGGCGACGAUCUCUAGCUGUUCUGAGAGGAAGAUCAGCCACACUGGGACUGAGACACGGCCCAGACUCCUACGGGAGGCAGCAGUGGGGAAUAUUGCACAAUGGGGGAAACCCUGAUGCAGCCAUGCCGCGUGUGUGAAGAAGGCCUUCGGGUUGUAAAGCACUUUCAGUUGUGAGGAAAAGUUAGUAGCUAAUACCUGCUAGCCGUGACGUUAACAACAGAAGAAGCACCGGCUAACUCCGUGCCAGCAGCCGCGGUAAUACGGAGGGUGCGAGCGUUAAUCGGAAUUACUGGGCGUAAAGCGCACGCAGGCG